AUCAAACUCGAUCUAAACCUUUCUCAGCUUCUUCUUACACAACACUACCUUCUCUCACCCAAAUUGAACCCAAGUUCGUGCCGCCAAAUCGAAGUUCUCACCCAAAUCAAAAAUCCAACUAAAUCAAAAACCUAACCCUCCGACUCAUACCCCUCUUCGAGAAAGAAAGGAAACCUUAAUCUGCAUCUGAUCCAGACUUUGUUUCAAAACCUAACCCUCCAAUUCAUACCCCUCUUCGCGAAAUCAUCCAAACCUCAUUGCUCAUUUCAUGGGUGUCAAUCAGUAGUUCUUUAUCUAUGCUGCCGAAGCAAAUCCAUGAGAUCAAGGAUUUCCUCCUGACUGCAAGAAGGAAGGAUGCCCAUUCUGUGAAAAUCAAGAAGACGAAGGACGCAGUCAAGUUCAAGGUUCGAUGCAACCUUUUCUUUAUUACUAUUAAGGAAGUUUUUGCAACUCGUAUUUCUGGAUCUGCUGACCUUUACAAAUGCAUGGGAAUUUGCCUUCUCAAAGCCAGUUAGUGGAUUAGGAAUUUGUUGUUACUCAACAUUCAGCUGUACCAAAGGGGAUUUUGUCAUUAUAGCGAUUUCACUGCUGCUGAUUCUGUGGACUAUCCACCUCCACUUUCAGUUCUGGACUGUAGCUACUGUGUAAUGGUUGCAUUAUAGUUAAUACAGAGAGGAAUUCUUCAUUUUAAGAUCUUGUUAGAGUAUGUUCAAUGACAGAAUCCGAAGAAAGAGACAAGAUGAAAGGCAUGUAGCGAAUCAACUGCGUACCAGUCAAAGAACAAACCACCGGUCAUUUUGGAAUGAUAUUGCCACUCCAUUUUUGCUUCUUGCAAAAACUAAUCCCCUAUAGUCAAAGCCUCAAAGGCUAAUCAAGUGCUUCACAUUCCCUGGAAACAUCAAAACAGAUCCCACAAUAGCAUGUCCCUGCGAUUAUGGCAAGAACAGGCAAUAAGAAUAUACCUCAAGUUCUGUGAGGAUCCAAGAUCAAAUUAUGUUCUCAAGUUACCUCUUAGACUACCCUUUAGGAAUUCAGAAUUUUGUCUAUGCCCAAAAGUUAGUUUCCUGUGGAAAAGCACUUCCCUUUGUAUUGUUACAUUUUGUGCUUUAAAAAUUUAGUAUUGAACAUCAGCAAGAGGAAUAGAUGUUGGUUGAUUCACUAUAUUAUGGAUUUCUCAGGUGCUUCUUGGGACAUUGGAGCUGGGAAAACAAGUUUGGUAUUGAGAUUUGUCACAUAAAAAAUUUUGGAGUACCAUGUUACUUUUAACAUCAGACCAUCAGAGUCUUUGUUAUUGUAUAAUGUUUCAUUAUUCGUGCAUGUUCUUCCGCAUCAGCAUUAUAGUAUAAUUCAUUGCUUCUAACAUGUGUAAGUUGCAGGAAUCACCAAUUGGAGCAGAUCUCUUCACUCAGCUUCUGUCAUUGAAUGAAGCUACCAUAAAAUUUGACUAUAAAAAUUUGACUUGUAUUAAAAGUUUUUUGACUUGUAUUUCAUUUCUUUAGUCCAAUGGUAACUGAAAUAAUGUUGGUUGAUGUUGUCACAGAAAAAUGGUCCUCACUUAGGAAGCAGAGAUCUAUCAGGGCAGAAAUGGUCAGGAAGCAGAGAUGAUACUUAGUCUGCAAAAGGCAAGUAGAAAACAAGUUGUGAUGUCUUUGACCAAGGCAGUAGAUACACUGCUGAUUACUCAUGGGACAAGUACACCCUUCAUGAAGGACCUUUUGAGGAGGUUGGAGCAACCAUGCUGAAAUUUUUAUCAAUGGAGUAUAUUAGUUUAUACUGCUGUUAACAAACUAUAUUUUAUGAUUUGAGUAUGACUUUUUCAUCA